rnacentral:rRNA from 1 species
UAAACGGAUGGGCCCUCGAAAUCCUGUGGCGGGAGGAUUCAGUCGGGGUAGCUGGUGAUGUUCGGCUCGGUUACUAAUCGGAUCGGCCGUUCUCGUCGCCUGUCUACUCCGAUGCAUUUGCUUCCCGUCCGAUGGACGCCGCAGCCGAUUGGGUCUGACAAGACGGUCUGAAGGGCGGACGCCGGCAGGUGGCUGGUGGCGUGCCUCGUGUGCGUCGCCGGUUGUUAGCCUGUUCGUCUCCGAUCGUCACCCGAUCGUGGUAUCGCCAAGGCCGUGAAGGCUAGGCACGUCUCCUCCUCGUUAAAAGGGAGCUGGUGAGCUUCGCAGGCGGGAUGCUCCGCCGGUCGCACUCCUGAGGAUGUGGGCCGGAGGACGUGAACUGCCGGAGAGCGGGGCCGGACCAGUCGGGGACUGGGGGCUAGCGGCGAGUAGGUCGGUCACCCAUCCGACCCGUCUUGAAACACGGACCAAGGAGUCUAACAUGUGCGCGAGUCACUGGGUCUUGAAUAGGCCCAAGGGCGUAAUGAAAGCAAAAGGCGACACUGAAGUCGCCCCAGUUGGGAUCUCCCCGUGAAAAGGGAGCGCACCAACGACCCGUUCGCGACAGCUUUGCUGACUGGACGGAGUUUGAGCGUACACGUUGGGACCCGAAAGAUGGUGAACUAUGCCUGGACAGGUCGAGGUCAGAGGAAACUCUGAUGGAGGACCGUAGCGGUUCUGACGUGCAAAUCGAUCGUCAGAUCUGCGUAUAGG